GUAACAUAUAGUUAAUGUACCUUCAAGACUGGGAUAGCCACUGGAAACGGUGAUUAAUACUAGAUAUACCUUCAUAUCAAAAGCUAUGAAGGGAAACGUUUUUUCGCUUGAAGAUCAGACUAUAUCCCAUCAGUUAGUUGGUAGGGUAAUGGCCUACCAAGGCAAUGACGGGUAGCGGGUUUGAGAGGAUGAUCCGCCACACUGGUACUGAGACACGGACCAGACUCCUACGGGAGGCAGCAGUGAGGAAUAUUGCACAAUGGAGGAAACUCUGAUGCAGCAACGCCGCGUGGAGGAUGACGCAUUUCGGUGUGUAAACUCCUUUUAUGAGUCAAGAAAAUGACGGUAGCUCAUGAAUAAGCACCGGCUAACUCCGUGCCAGCAGCCGCGGUAAUACGGAGGGUGCAAGCGUUACUCGGAAUCACUGGGCGUAAAGGACGCGUAGGCGGGAUGUCAAGUCAGGUGUGAAAUCCUAUGGCUCAACCAUAGAACUGCAUUUGAAACUGGCAACCUAGAGUAUGGGAGGGGGAGAUGGAAUUAGUGGUGUAGGGGUAAAAUCCGUAGAUAUCACUAGGAAUACCUAAAGCGAAGGCGAUCUCCUGGAACAUAACUGACGCUAAGGCGUGAAAGCGUGGGGAGCAAACAGGAUUAGAUACCCUGGUAGUCCACGCCCUAAACGAUGAACACUAGUCGUCGUGAUGCUUGUCAUUGCGGUGAUGCACUUAACAGAUUAAGUGUUCCGCCUGGGGAGUACGGUCGCAAGAUUAAAACUCAAAGGAAUAGACGGGGACCCGCACAAGUGGUGGAGCAUGUGGUUUAAUUCGAAGAUACGCGAAAAACCUUACCUGGGCCUUGACAUUGAUAGAAUCCAGCAGAGAUGCAGGAGUGCCCUUCGGGGAGCUUGAAAGCAGGUGCUGCACGGCUGUCGUCAGCUCGUGUCGCGAGAUGUUGGGUUAAGUCCCGCAACGAGCGC
rnacentral:rRNA from 1 species